rnacentral:rRNA from 1 species
AGAGUUUGAUCCUGGCUCAGGACGAACGCUGGCGGCGUGCUUAACACAUGCAAGUCGAACGGUGAUGAUCAAGCUUGCUUGGUCUGAUCAGUGGCGAACGGGUGAGUAACACGUGAGUAACCUGCCCCAGACUCUGGGAUAACCCCGGGAAACCGGAGCUAAUACCGGAUAUGACCCUCGCAUGCAUGUGCAGGGGGUGGAAAGUUUUUCGGUCUGGGAUGGACUCGCGGCCUAUCAGCUUGUUGGUGAGGUAGUGGCUCACCAAGGCGACGACGGGUAGCCGGCCUGAGAGGGCGACCGGCCACACUGGGACUGAGACACGGCCCAGACUCCUACGGGAGGCAGCAGUGGGGAAUAUUGCACAAUGGGCGGAAGCCUGAUGCAGCGACGCCGCGUGAGGGAUGACGGCCUUCGGGUUGUAAACCUCUUUCAGCAGGGAAGAAGCGCAAGUGACGGUACCUGCAGAAGAAGCACCGGCUAACUACGUGCCAGCAGCCGCGGUAAUAC